GUCGGUGGAAGGCUGGUUAAUACGUUUGGUUUUCGACCACUACGACCCGGGUUCGAUUCCCGCAUUGGACA